rnacentral:rRNA from 1 species
UGAAUACGAGAUGCUACGGCGUCGAAGCAGUCUAUGUCAUACUUCCAAGAAAAGCUUGCACUGUCAUAAACAAAUAAUGCCUGUACCAUAACCGACACAGGUGGGUAGUAGAGUAUACUAAGGGGCGCGAGAUAACUCUCUCUAAGGAACUCGGCAAAAUGACUCCGUAACUUCGGGAGAAGGAGUGCCUUAUUUAUAAGGUUGCAAUAACAAGAUCCAAGCAACUGUUUACCAAAAACACAGGUCUCCGCUAAGUCGUAAGACGAUGUAUGGGGGCUGACGCCUGCCCAGUGCCAGAAGGUUAAAGAAGUUGGUUAGCAUCCGCGAAGCUGAUAACUGAAGCCCUGGUGAACGGCGGCCGUAACAAUAACGGUCCUAAGGUAGCGAAAUUCCUUGUCGGGUAAGUUCCGACCCGCACGAAAGGCGUAAUGAUUUGGAUACUGUCUCGGAGAGGGGCUCGGUGAAAUAGACUUGUCUGUGAAGAUGCGGACUACCUGCACCAGGACAGAAAGACCCUAUGAAGCUUUACUGUAACCUGAAAUUGAAAUUGGACUUUACUUGCGCAGUAUAGGUGGGAGGCGUUGAGAAUAUUCUUGCGGGAUUAUUGGAGCCAUCAGUGAGAUACCACUCUUGUAAUGUUAGAUUUCUAACUUUGUAUCAUUAUCUGGUCAAAGAACAGUUUUCAGGCGGGCAGUUUGACUGGGGCGGUCGCCUCCUAAACGGUAACGGAGGCGCACAAAGGUUUCCUCUGAACGGGUAGAAAUCGUAUCUAGAGUGUAAAGGCAUAAGGAAGCUUGACUGUGAGACCUACAAGUCGAGCAGGGACGAAAGUCGGUCUUAGUGAUCUGACGGUGCUGAGUGGAAAGGCCGUCACUCAACGGAUAAAAGUUACUCUAGGAUAACAGGCUGAUCUCCCCCAAGAGUUCACAUCGACGGGGAGGUUUGGCACCUCGAUGUCGGCUCAUCGCAUCCUGGGGCGGUAGUACGUCCCAAGGGUUGGGCUGUUCGCCCAUGAAAGCGGUACGCGAGCUGGGUUCAGAACGUCGUGAGACAGUUCGGUCCAUAUCCGGUGUUGGCGUUAGAAUAUUGAGAGGAGCCUUCUUUAGUACGAGAGGACCGAGAAGGACAUACCUCUGGUGUACCAGUUAUCGUGCCAACGGUAAACGCUGGGUAGCUAUGUGUGGAGUGGAUAACCGCUGAAAGCAUCUAAGUGGGAAGCCCACCUCAAGAUAAGUAUUCUCA